GGCCCUACGGGGUGCAGCAGGCGCGAAAACUUUACAAUGCUGGGAACAGCGAUAAGGGAACCUCGAGUGCCAGGUUACAAAUCUGGCUGUCGUGAUGCCUAAAAAGCAUUAUAUAGCAAGGGCCGGGCAAGACCGGUGCCAGCCGCCGCGGUAACACCGGCGGCUCGAGUGGUAACCGUUAUUAUUGGGUCUAAAGGGUCUGUAGCCGGCCGGAUAAGUCUCUUGGGAAAUCUGGCAGCUCAACUGUCAGGCUUUCAGGGGAUACUGUCUGGCUCGAGGCCGGGAGAGGUGAGAGGUACUUCAGGGGUGGGGGUGAAAUCCUGUAAUCCUAGGGGGACCACCUGUGGCGAAGGCGUCCAACUGGAACGGGUCUGACGGUGAGGGACGAAACCUAGGGGAGCGAGCCGGAUUAGAUACCCGGGUAGUCCUAGGCGUAAAUGAUGCGAGUUAAGUGUGGGGGCAUCUACGAGAUGGCCCUGUGCUGUAGGGUAGCCGUGAAGCGAGCCACCUGGGAAGUACGGCCGCAAGGCUGAAACUUAAAGGAAUUGGCGGGGGAGCACCACAACGGGUGGAGCUUGCGGUUUAAUUGGAUUCAACGCCGGAAAUCUUA
rnacentral:rRNA from 1 species